GACGAACGCUGGCGGCGUGCUUAACACAUGCAAGUCGAGCGGAAAGGCCACUUCGGUGGUACUCGAGCGGCGAACGGGUGAGUAACACGUGAGUAAUCUGCCCCUGUCUGUGGGAUAGCCCCCGGAAACGGUGAUUAAUACCGGAUAUGACCACGUCUCGCAUUGGGGGUGGCGGAACGUUCUUCGGCCAGGGAUGUGCUCGCGGCCUAUCAGCUUGAUGGUGAGGUAAUGGCCCACCAUGGCUUCGACGGGUAGCCCGCCUGAGAGGGUGACCGGUCGCACUGGGACUGAGACACGGCCCAGACUCCUACGGGAGGCAGCAGUGGGGAAUAUUGGACAAUGGGCGGAAGCCUGAUCCAGCAACGCCGCGUGAGGGAUGACGGCCUUCGGGUUGUAAACCUCUUUCAGUACCGACGAAGCGCAAGUGACGGUAGGUACAGAAGAAGCACCGGCCAACUACGUGCCAGCCGCCGCAGUAAGAC
rnacentral:rRNA from 1 species